UACGGAGGGUGCGAGCGUUGUCCGGAAUCACUGGGCGUAAAGGGCGCGUAGGCGGCGCGGAUAGUCGGCGGUGAAAGCCCGGAGCUCAACUCCGGAUCGGCCGUCGAUACUUCCGGGCUUGAGCACUGUAGAGGCAGAUGGAAUUCCGGGUGUAGCGGUGGAAUGCGUAGAGAUCCGGAAGAACACCGGUGGCGAAGGCGGUCUGCUGGGCAGUUGCUGACGCUGAUGCGCGACAGCGUGGGGAGCAAACAGG
rnacentral:rRNA from 1 species